rnacentral:rRNA from 1 species
AUUGAACGCUGGCGGCAGGCCUAACACAUGCAAGUCGAACGAGUGGCGGACGGGUGAGUAAUGUCUGGGAAACUGCCUGAUGGAGGGGGAUAACUACUGGAAACGGUAGCUAAUACCGCAUACCAUCGGAUGUGCCCAGAUGGGAUUAGCUAGUGGGUGGGGUAAAGGCUCACCUGGGCGACGAGCCCUAGCUAGUCUGAGAGGAUGACCAGCCACACUGGAACUGAGACACGGUCCAGACUCCUACGGGAGGCAGCAUGAGGGAAUAUGGCGCAAUGGGCGCAAGCCUGAUGCAGCCAUGGCGCGUGUAUGAAGAAGGCCUUCGGGUUGUAAAGUACUUUCAGCGGGGAGGCGUUACCCGCAGAAGAAGCACCGGCUAACUCCGUGCCAGCCGCCGCGGUAAUUC